GACCGCGUAGCUCAGUUGGAAGAGCAUUGGGCUAGUAUUCCAAAGGUCGUAGGUUCGAAUCCCACCGUUGCCU
rnacentral:tRNA from 1 species